rnacentral:rRNA from 1 species
CCUACGGGAGGCAGCAGUGAGGAAUAUUGGACAAUGGGCGCAAGCCUGAUCCAGCCAUGCCGCGUGCAGGAAGACGGUCCUAUGGAUUGUAAACUGCUUUUAUACAGGAAGAAACACCUCUACGUGUAGAGACUUGACGGUACUGUAUGAAUAAGCAUCGGCUAACUCCGUGCCAGCAGCCGCGGUAAUACGGAGGAUGCAAGCGUUAUCCGGAAUCAUUGGGUUUAAAGGGUCCGUAGGCGGUUUAAUAAGUCAGUGGUGAAAGCCCAUCGCUCAACGAUGGAACGGCCAUUGAUACUGUUAAACUUGAAUUAUUAGGAAGUAACUAGAAUAUGUAGUGUAGCGGUGAAAUGCUUAGAGAUUACAUGGAAUACCAAUUGCGAAGGCAGGUUACUACUAAUAUAUUGACGCUGAUGGACGAAAGCGUGGGGAGCGAACAGGAUUAGAUACCCUGGUAGUCCGACGACCGUAACGAGUAGAUACUAGUCUGUUCGGUAGCGAUACUGUAGUGGUCGUAGACGAAGAG